UGGGGGAUAUUGCACAAUGGGCGAAAGCCUGAUGCAGCGACGCCGCGUGGGGGAUGAAGGCUUUCGGGUUGUAAACCUCUUUCGCUAUCGAACAAGGCCCGCUUAGGGUGGGUUGAGGGUAGGUGGAGAAGAAGCGCCGGCUAACUACGUGCCAGCAGCCGCGGUAAUACGUAGGGCGCGAGCGUUGUCCGGAAUUAUUGGGCGUAAAGGGCUUGUAGGCGGCUUGUUGCGCCUGCUGUGAAAACGCGGGGCUUAACUUCGCGCGUGCAGUGGGUACUGGCAGGCUUGAGUGUGGUAGGGGUGACUGGAAUUCCAGGUGUAGCGGUGGAAUGCGCAGAUAUCUGGAGGAACACCGAUGGCGAAGGCAGGUUACUGGGCCAUUACUGACGCUGAGGAGCGAAAGCAUGGGUAGCGAACAGG
rnacentral:rRNA from 1 species